UAGGGAAUCUUCCGCAAUGGGCGAAAGCCUGACGGAGCAACGCCGCGUGAGUGAUGAAGGUCUUCGGAUCGUAAAACUCUGUUAUUAGGGAAGAACAUAUGUGUAAGUAACUGUGCACAUCUUGACGGUACCUAAUCAGAGCACGGCUAACUACGUGCCACCAGCCGCGGUAAUACGUAGGUGGCAAGCGUUAUCCGGAAUUAUUGGGCGUAAAGCGCGCGUAGGCGGUUUUUUAAGUCUGAUGUGAAAGCCCACGGCUCAACCGUGGAGGGUCGUUGGGGAAAGGGAAAAAUGAGUGCAGAAGAGGAAAGUGGAAUUCCAUGUGUAGCGGUGAAAUGCGCAGAGAUAUGGAGGAACACCAGUGGCGAAGGCGACUUUCUGGUCUGUAACUGACGCUGAUGUGCGAAAGCGUGGGGAUCAAACAGGAUUAGAUACCCUGGUAGUCCACGCCGUAAACGAUGAGUGCUAAGUGUUAGGGGGUUUCCGCCCCUUAGUGCUGCAGCUAACGCAUUAAGCACUCCGCCUGGGGAGUACGGCCGCAAGGUUG
rnacentral:rRNA from 1 species